rnacentral:rRNA from 1 species
AUAGUAGCAAUACUAGAGACCGGCGCACGGGUGCGUAACGCGUAUGCAAUCUACCUUUCACAGAGGGAUAGCCCAGAGAAAUUUGGAUUAAUACCUCAUAGUAUAAUGAGUUGGCAUCAACCCAUUAUUAAAGUCACAACGGUGAAAGAUGAGCAUGCGUCCCAUUAGCUAGUUGGUAAGGUAACGGCUUACCAAGGCUACGAUGGGUAGGGGUC